UACAGAGGUCCCGAGCGUUGUUCGGAUUCACUGGGCGUAAAGGGUGCGUAGGCGGUUCUGCAAGUCUGAUGUGAAAUCUCCAGGCCCAACCUGGAAACGGCAUUAGAAACUACAGGGCUAGAGGCUUGGAGGGGGAACUGGAAUGCUCGGUGUAGCAGUGAAAUGCGUAGAGAUCGAGCGGAACACCAGUGGCGAAGGCGAGUUCCUGGACAAGUCCUGACGCUGAGGCACGAAAGCCAGGGGAGCAAACGGG
rnacentral:rRNA from 1 species